UNUGAAGUUAAAGGCAGUGGCUCAACCAUUGUAGGCUUUGGAAACUGUUUAACUUGAGUGCAGAAGGGGAGAGUGGAAUUCCAUGUGUAGCGGUGAAAUGCGUAGAUAUAUGGAGGAACACCGGUGGCGAAAGCGGCUCUCUGGUCUGUAACUGUCGCUGAGGCUCGAAAGCGUGGGGAGCGAACAGGAUUAGAUACCCUGGUAGUNCACGCCGUAAACGAUGAGUGCUAGGUGUUAGGUCCUUUCCGGGACUUAGUGCCGCAGCUAACGCAUUAAGCACUCCGCCUGGGGAGUACGACCGCAAGGUUGAAACUCAAAGGAAUUGACGGGGGCCCGCACAAGCGGUGGAGCAUGUGGUUUAAUUCGAAGCAACGCGAAGAACCUUACCAGGUCUUGACAUCCCGAUGCCCGCUCUAGAGAUAGAGCUUUACUUCGGUACAUCGGUGACAGGUGGUGCAUGGUUGUCGUCAGCUCGUGUCGUGAGAUGUUGGGUUAAGUCCCGCAACGAGCGCAACCCUUAUUGUUAGUUGCCAUCAUUCAGUUGGGCACUCUAGCGAGACUGCCGGUAAUAAACCGGAGGAAGGUGGGGAUGACGUCAAAUCAUCAUGCCCCUUAUGACCUGGGCUACACACGUGCUACAAUGGCUGGUACAACGAGUCGCAAGCCGGUGACGGCAAGCUAAUCUCUGAAAGCCAGUCUCAGUUCGGAUUGUAGGCUGCAACUCGCCUACAUGAAGUCGGAAUCGCUAGUAAUCGCGGAUCAGCACGCCGCGGUGAAUACGUUCCCGGGCCUUGUACACACCGCCCGUCACACCACGAGAGUUUGUAACACCCGAAGUCGGU
rnacentral:rRNA from 1 species